UACGUAGGGGGCAAGCGUUGUCCGGAUUCAUUGGGCGUAAAGAGCGUGUAGGCGGCCUGGAAGGUCAGCUGUGAAAACUCGAGGCUCAACCUCGAGACGUCGGUUGAAACCACCUGGCUAGAGUCCGGAAGAGGAGAGUGGAAUUCCCGGUGUAGCGGUGAAAUGCGCAGAUAUCGGGAAGAACACCCGUGGCGAAGGCGGCUCUCUGGGACGGUACUGACGCUGAGACGGCGAAAAGCGUGGGGGAGCGAACAGG
rnacentral:rRNA from 1 species